GGCGAACGGGUGAGUAACACGUGAGCAACCUGCCCUUGACUCUGGGAUAACAGUUGGAAACAGCUGCUAAUACCGGAUACGACCCUGGAUGACAUCAUCCGGGGUGGAAAGCGCUUUAGCGGUCAAGGAUGGGCUCGCGGCCUAUCAGCUUGUUGGUGAGGUAACGGCUCACCAAGGCUUCGACGGGUAGCCGGCCUGAGAGGGCGACCGGCCACACUGGGACUGAGAUACGGCCCAGACUCCUACGGGAGGCAGCAGUGGGGAAUAUUGCACAAUGGGCGCAAGCCUGAUGCAGCAACGCCGCGUGCGGGAUGACGGCCUUCGGGUUGUAAACCGCUUUCAGUUCCGACGAAGCGCAAGUGACGGUAGGAACAGAAGAAGGACCGGCCAACUACGUGCCAGCAGCCGCGGUGAUACGUAGGGUCCGAGCGUUGUCCGGAAUUAUUGGGCGUAAAGGGCUUGUAGGCGGUUUGUUGCGUCGGAAGUGAAAACUCAGGGCUUAACCCUGAGCCUGCUUCCGAUACGGGCAAACUAGAGGGAUGCAGGGGAGAAUGGAAUUCCUGGUGGAGCGGUGGAAUGCGCAGAUAUCAGGAGGAACACCGGUGGCGAAGGCGGUUCUCUGGGCAUUUCCUGACGCUGAGAAGCGAAAGCGUGGGGAGCAAACAGGCUUAGAUACCCUGGUAGUCC
rnacentral:rRNA from 1 species